CUGGCGACCGGCAAACGGGUGCGGAACACGUACGCAACCUACCCAAAACUGGGGAAUAGCCCGGGGAAACCCGGAUUAAUACCCCGUAACAUAGUGAAGUGGCAUCACUUCACUAUUAUAGCUGCGGCGGUUUUGGAUGGGCGUGCGGCCCAUUAGGUAGUUGGCAGGGUAACGGCCUACCAAGCCUGCGAUGGGUAACUGGUGUGAGAGCACGACCAGUCACACGGGCACUGAGACACGGGCCCG
rnacentral:rRNA from 1 species